GGGCCUGUGGCUCAGUUGGUAGAGCGUCUCAAUGGCAUUGAGAAGAUCGUGGGUUCGAGUCCCACCAGGUCCA
rnacentral:tRNA from 1 species